UACAGAGGGUGCGAGCGUUAAUCGGAAUUACUGGGCGUAAAGCGCGCGUAGGCGGCUUUGUAAGUUAGAGGUGAAAGCCCGGGGCUCAACUCCGGAAUUGCCUUUAAGACUGCAUCGCUAGAAUUGUGGAGAGGUAAGUGGAAUUCCGAGUGUAGAGGUGAAAUUCGUAGAUAUUAGGAAGAACACCAGUGGCGAAGGCGGCUCACUGGCCCGGUACUGACGCUGAGAUACGAAAGCGUGGGGAGCAAACAGG
rnacentral:rRNA from 1 species